CUCAGCGCUCGGCGUAAUGACGUCUCCGAGCAGUGAAAACGCUGAGUUUUUAUACACAUGUGAAGGACAUUCUCCGUGCCAGUUACGAGAAGCUACAAAGCAGGUUGAGAUAAGAACCCAGGUGAAGCUGAGGGCAGCACACACACAAGAUCCUCCUCAGUGGCCGCUGCAAAUCAUUAUUAAUUGACAUAAAGUAAAAACGUGGAUCCGGAACUUUCGUACCGAAUAAGAUAUGAACCAAGGCCAUGAACAGAAGUCCUUUGUUUUGAAGCUUCUAUGAGAUCGAGUCGACCGUCCUCCCUUCUCAGGACACAGCUGCAAAGCAACAUUUUGUAUCAUGCUGCUCUUUGCACAUCAGGGUCAAAUACAGGACACUUGAGACACGGCUUUAGCACGAAACAAUGUUAUAAUAUAUUUUAUCAGUACAUGCAUCUCACACGACCCACAGGACAGGAAGCGGCAGCUGGAACGUCUGCGUGGCUCCUCCGUGCUACUCGUAUGUGAACGUCCCCAGCAGGGUGUCCUCCUCCACGUCGUCCUUCAGGCCCUGCAGGAGGAGAAGGAUCAAGAAACACCAACAUGAGAAAUGAUGAGCUGAAGCAUCCGUUGAAUCAGCUUCUGAUUUAUCUGGAUCUUCUGAGUCAAGUUCUUCAUCUUCUACCAACUCCUUCUCAGACUGUUCUUCCUCUCCGAGCUCCUCAAGCUCGGAGAAUGUAAAGAAGAGGAUGAAGAAGUCAAAGAAGAAGAAGGGAAAGAAAGUAACAAGAGAGAGAGGAAGCAAAAAGAUCAGACGGAGCCGUGUUUCAAGGGCACGUGGUCCAGAUGAGGCCUACAAGAAGAAGCAUACAAUUGCCUUGAAUGCACCAUUUGUCACUGUCUUAUUUUUUAGUUUUCUGCCACUCGUGUCCCCGGGUAACUUCACUUCCUGCCUUGUCCUGUCGUCCCCUGUCAUUGUCUGAGCGUUUCCACCUGUGUCCAAUCACCUGCACCUCCCUAGUGUAUUUAAGCCGUGUGUCUCUUGUGUCACUUGUCGCGUCAUUGUCGAACGUCCUGGAUGUGUCUAGUCCGUGCCUGCUUUUUUGCCCUGGUUCCUGUGUGUUUUUGCCCCUUGGCCUUUUACUUUUGGUAUUUUGGACUAUUAAAGUCUAUUUUGUUACUCGAACUCUGCAUUUGAGUCCUGCCUUCCCACGCACCCCUGACACCAAUUGCUGAGAUUUCCAUUGCGGCCCCUGAAAAGUUUGCGGAGUUUAAGGAUCAGCAUACAACAAAGCACAAGCUCUGUAGGAUUUCACUGGGAAAUGUCGAGAUGCCAUCGUGACUGUCCAGAUAUUGGUGACACAGUUCGGGCACUGAAGAAAUCAGAGAAACUGUAUCAACCUUGACCACAUUAGAUGUGGAGGUUGUGAAAAUCAUUAACCAGUAAUUAACACGUAAUGAAAUAUUUAUUAGCCUUAAUAAGGCUUGUUCUCGCUUUAGAUCAGGUAGCUGUAAAAAGAAUAGUUAACUGUUAACAAGUGCAUAGUUAACUUAUAAUAGAUGAGCAGUAAAGUAUAUUUUAUAUUCAAUAAGCAAACAAAAAAAGAU
ensembl:lncRNA